GCAAACUUGGUCAUUUAGAGGAAGUAAAAGUCGUAACAAGGUUUCCGUAGGUGAACCUGCGGAAGGAUCAUUAAAAGUGCGGGCGAUUUAUGUCCGAACCAACACUUUACAUCCCGUGAACCGUCCCCGUUUGCUUCGGCGGGCCGACGUCUCUGAGACGUCCGGCUGCCUCCGAGAGGAGGUGGCUGGAGCGCCCGCCAGAAGACCAAUUUUAACUCGAUUUUGGUGCCUGUCUGAAGAAAAAACACAAUAAGUUAAAACUUUCAACAACGGAUCUCUUGGUUCUCGCAUCGAUGAAGAACGCAGC
rnacentral:misc_RNA from 1 species